GCCCGGUCCUGCGCCCUGCGGCGACAGACCAGACUUCCCGCGGAGCAGCGGUGUCUGACAGAUUGGGCAUACCUUCAGUUUGAUGACAUCAUCGUCUUCAUCCAUAUAAUGGUCAAGGCCUUUGGACUCAAAGACAUGGCCACAGUCUUCAAGCUGUACAAAUCGAGCGUCUGGGUCUUCUUCAAAGCCAAAAAAGAUCUGGGGUAUUCACUCACUCGUGUUUCAGAGAUUCAAGGCCUAGCUCUAAUACAGCAUAGCAGUGUAACCUUGGCUCAGACUUCUGGGGAAUAGUAAGUUGUGACAGAGAGCUGCAAGCAAGUCUGAAGAACACAGCUAUGCAAGAUAAGAAAGUCCCAGGAGGUCCUUGGAUAACAGCCAGCUCCUUCGUGAGUGCAAGACUCAAUGCCUGCAUCUGAGACUCAUCUAAUCUCAAAGUUUCCAUUGAAAACCACUGCUUG